rnacentral:rRNA from 1 species
GACGUAGGGCGCGAGCGUUGUCCGGAUUUAUUGGGCGUAAAGAGCUCGUAGGCGGCUUGUUGCGUCGACUGUGAAAACCCGCGGCUUAACCGCGGGCCUGCAGUUGAUACGGGCAGGCUAGAGUUCGGCAGGGGAGACUGGAAUUCCUGGUGUAGCGGUGAAAUGCGCAGAUAUCAGGAGGAACACCAAUGGCGAAGGCAGCUCGCUGGGACGUGACUGACGCUGAGACGCGAAAGCGUGGGGAGCAAACAGG